rnacentral:rRNA from 1 species
ACUCAAAGGAAUUGACGGGGGCCCGCACAAGCGGUGGAGCAUGUGGUUUAAUUCGACGCAACGCGAAGAACCUUACCUGGGCUCGAACGGCUUCUCAACGGUCGUGGAAACACGGCUACCCCGCAAGGGGGUGGAGUCGAGGUGCUGCAUGGCUGUCGUCAGCUCGUGUCGUGAGAUGUUGGGUUAAGUCCCGCAACGAGCGCAACCCUUGUCCCGUGUUGCCAGCAUUCAGUUGGGCACUCUCGGGAGACCGCCAGCGAUAAGCUGGAGGAAGGUGGGGAUGACGUCAAGUCAUCAUGGCCUUUAUGUCCAGGGCUACACACGUGCUACAAUGGCCGGUACAGAACGUUGCCAACCCGCGAGGGGGAGCAAAUCGUCAAAAACCGGUCUCAGUUCGGAUUGCAGGCUGCAACUCGCCUGCAUGAAGCUGGAAUCGCUAGUAAUGGCAUAUCAGAACGAUGCCGUGAAUACGUUCCCGGGCCUUGUACACACCGCCCGU